rnacentral:rRNA from 1 species
AUUGAACGCUGGCGGCAUGCUUUACACAUGCAAGUCGAACGGUAACACGCCUUCGGGUGCUGACGAGUGGCGGACGGGUGAGUAAUGCAUCGGAACGUACCCAGAGGUGGGGGAUAACGCAGCGAAAGCUGUGCUAAUACCGCAUGUGAUCUGAGGAUGAAAGCGGGGGACCGAGCAGCAAUGUUUGGCCUUGCGCCUUUGGAGCGGCCGAUGUCGGAUUAGCUAGUUGGUGGGGUAAAGGCCUACCAAGGCGACGAUCCGUAGCUGGUCUGAGAGGACGAUCAGCCACACUGGGACUGAGACACGGCCCAGACUCCUACGGGAGGCAGCAGUGGGGAAUUUUGGACAAUGGGCGCAAGCCUGAUCCAGCAAUGCCGCGUGCGGGAAGAAGGCCUUCGGGUUGUAAAACGCUUUUGGCAGGAACGAAACGGUGUCCGCUAAUACCGGGCGCUAAUGACGGUACCUGCAGAAUAAGCACCGGCUAACUACGUG